CAGCACCUCAAGUGGUCAGGAUGAUUAUUGGGCCUAAAGCAUCCGUAGCCGGCUUUGUAAGUUUUCGGUUAAAUCUGUACGCUCAACGUACAGGCUGCCGGGAAUACUGCAGAGCUAGGGAGUGGGAGAGGUAGACGGUACUCGGUAGGAAGGGGUAAAAUCCUUUGAUCUAUUGAUGACCACCUGUGGCGAAGGCGGUCUACCAGAACACGUCCGACGGUGAGGGAUGAAAGCUGGGGGAGCAAACCGGAUUAGAUACCCGAGUAGUCC
rnacentral:rRNA from 1 species